AUUGAACGCUGGCGGCAGGCCUAACACAUGCAAGUCGAACGAGGGGCGGACGGGUGAGUAAUGUGUGGGAAACUGCCUGAGGGAGGGGGAUAACUACGGGAAAGGGUAGAUAAUCCCGCAUACUAUCAGAUGUGCCCAGAUGGGAUUAGCUUGUUGGUGGGGUAACGGCUCCCCAAGGCGACGAUCCCUAGCUGGUCUGAGAGGAUGACCAGCCACACUGGAACUGAGACACGGUCCAGACUCCUACGUGAGGCAGCAGUGGGGAAUAUUGCACAAGGGGCGCAAGCCUGAUGCAGCCAUGCCGCGUGUAUGAAGAAGGCCUUCGGGUUGUAAAGUACUUUCAGCGGGGAGGCGUUACCCGCAGAAGAAGCACCGGCUAACUCCGUGCCAGCAGCCGCGGUAAUUC
rnacentral:rRNA from 1 species